GCAUGUGGGAGUGGUUUGACUGUUGGACUAUGGCUCUGGAGACCAGGGUUCGAAUCCCUGCUUGGCCA